GUUAGGAAUAUUGGACAAUGGGCGAAAGCCUGAUCCAGCCAUGCCGCGUGAACGAUGAAGGCCUUCGGGUUGUAAAGUUCUUUAGCCGAUGAUUAUAAUGACUGUAGUCGGAAAAUAAGCCCCGGCUAACUUCGUGCCAGCAGCCGCGGUAAUACGAAGGGGGCGAGCGUUAUUCGGAAUCACUGGGCGUAAAGCGUGCGUAGGCGGGUUUGUAAGUUAGGAGUGAAAGCCCAGGGCUCAACCUUGGAAUUGCUCUUAAAACUGCAAGGCUCGAAUCUCGGAGAGGAUAGCGGAAUUUCCAGUGUAGCAGUGAAAUGCGUAGAUAUUGGAAGGAACACCAGUGGCGUAAGCGGCUAUCUGGACGAGUAUUGACGCUGAGGCACGAAAGCGUGGGGAUCAAACAGGAUUAGAAACCCCUGUAGUCC
rnacentral:rRNA from 1 species